GUCGAGGCCAUCUUGUUCACUCACUUCACAGAGAUACAAACAAACCAAAAGAGAUGAUUCUAUUUACUUAAGAUUCACUGGUAUGUGGGAGAGCUAUGUUUUAGACAGUAAAAAAUCUAGCUGUAAUCUGGAUGGCAGAUUGGGCAGGGAGAGGCCAGAAGCAAAGAGACCCAUUAGGAAGAUGUGACAUCAUCAGAAAUCAAGUCUCAUUUUACAGAUGAGGAAACUGAGGUACAGGGAGUAACUUGCCAAAGUCGUCACAGCUGGUAAGUGGCAGAAGCUCAAUCAGACCCCAGCAGCUAACUCCAGACCCCUUGUACUCUCUCAAUCACUGUUGUUUCUUGCUUCGUGUUUGGCUGAUUUUAAAUUUUAACUUUUUUAUAAAGU
rnacentral:lncRNA from 1 species